AGACAGAGGGUGCAAACGUUGCUCGGAUUUACUGGGCGUAAAGCGCAUGUAGGCGGAGAGAUGUGUCGGGUGUGAAAUCCCUGGGCUCAACCUAGGAACUGCAUCCGAAACUGUCUUUCUAGAGUAGUGGAGAGGAAAGCGGAAUUCCGGGUGUAGAGGUGAAAUUCGUAGAUAUCCGGAGGAACACCAGUGGCGAAGGCGGCUUUCUGGACACUAACUGACGCUGAGAUGCGAAAGCGUGGGGAGCAAACAGGAUUAGAUACCCUGGUAGUCCACGCCGUAAACGAUGAGUGCUGGGUGUCUUGGGUAUUGACCCCCGAGGCGCCGUAGCUAACGCGUUAAGCACUCCGCCUGGGGAGUACGGUCGCAAGACUAAA
rnacentral:rRNA from 1 species